GAGCAUGUUCUUCAAAGUUGUCCAGAACACACCAGGAGAGGGUGGGAAAAGUGAGCGCUUGCUGCCUCUUUUUUGUCUUCAGAGUAAAGGCAUGCCUCAGCUGUUGCUUCUAUAAGGACCUAGUGGUUAGGAUGUGCUAUACGUUUACACACAAUCAAGCCAGCAAGAGGAAGAGGACCCUGCACUCAAAUUUUUUUAUCAAACAAUGUAAGGUUCAAAGUCUCACAAGCUGCACCAACCUGAAGCUCUCACCUUAUUGGCUGCUAGAAAGUCCCUCAUGGAGAUCAUUUCCCCAGACAUCCUGCGUCCGGUGUCAGUCUCGCUUUCGUUAAUGGCGUCUGUCUCAAUGGAAGGGUCUCUACGGGCGCGCAUGUGACCUGGAGCCACCACAUUCCGUCGGGGGUGCCUGUGCGGGUGGUGGCCCCUUCUGGGUAAGCAACAGCGGCACGGGGCCUCCAACCGCCUCAGCAGCCAGUUGAGGACCUGCUUGAUGACGAUGGAGAUGACGUUGAAGAGGGAGUAGAUGCAGCAGACGCCUGUCAGGAUGAAGAGGAAGUUGCCAAGACGAUAUGCAGUGGUGGCGUGGCCCUCGUAGACGACCCGCUGGCUGCUCACCAUGUCGCCGAAACCGAUGGUGCUGAAGGCCACAAAGCAGAAGUAGAGCGAGUCCAGGUAGCCCCAUCCCUCGGCUGCGGAAUACAUGAGCGAGGCACAACAGGAAACCAAGAUGGCUGCCACUCCUAGAAUGAGCAUGACGCAGUAAACUGAAGGUUUCCAGCCGGCCAGAUCUGCUCCUUUUCCUCCCCCGUUCACACCUGCUCUGUUACCGUCAGACGCUCGUCGGCCAUUUUGUGGGAGAACAGCUUUGUUGUGGCGUCGUUCAUGACAGGACUUGAGGACGACAGCGAUGACGGUGAUGACACGCUCCAGGAAGAGGUUGAAGAAGAGGAUGGUUGCUGCACAGCCGAGGAGGCCGUAGAACAUCAGAAAGACUUUUCCUCCGAUGGUGGCCGGAGUCGUCAUCCCAAACCCUGGAAUAUAAAAGAAACCAUUAUAAUGCUGCUCCGAGGAGCUGAGCUUGAAUUCCCCUUUUUCUCGUCUACAGAACUGAACUGAAAAGCAUAUCUGUAACAAAGAAGUAUUUUACAUAAAAGCAUUACCUUCACUCGACAAACGCUUGGACUCGAUGCUCAGUGCUCUCAAAUGCACUUACAAAUCAAACAGUGCUUUCAGUAAAUGAAUAGACCAUUUUGAGAGAAGAUGAGAUAGCCCGUAGUCUAAUGCUGCCGCUCUGACUUAGCUAUGAAACUGAACCCCCAACCUCUCAGACAUUAAUAAAGGUUGUUUAUCUGUUCUUGUGAGUGAGUAUUAUACCACUGCCUCAAUAUACUGGGUUGCCAUUGGUGACACUCUCUCUAUGA